rnacentral:rRNA from 1 species
UACGUAGGGUGCGAGCGUUUGUCCGGAAUUACUGGGCGUAAAGAGUUCGUAGGUGGUUUGUCGCGUUGUUCGUGAAAACUCACAGCUUAACUGUGGGCGUGCGGGCGAUACGGGCAGACUGGAGUACUGCAGGGGGAGACUGGAAUUCCUGGUGUAGCGGUGGAAUGCGCAGAUAUCAGGAGGAACACCGAUGGCGAAGGCAGAUCUCUGGGCCGUAACUGACGCUGAGGAGCGAAAAGCAUGGGGGAGCGAACAGG